UUUGUGAGUUUUGAAUUUGGCAACAACGGUCAUGCCUUACUUUCCUGAUCAUCUUUGUGUUACAAAAUUUAGACAUGUGUAAACCGUUAUGAGGAUUAUUUUGGGGGGAAAUACAGUGGAACUUAUUUACAGCUAUUUGAUUGAUGUAAACCAAGUCUUAUGGAGUUAAGCAAAGUGUGCGUGUUAUGUGGACUAAUUUUAAGGGCAUGAACACAGAAACUUUAAUUUUAAUAUCGAAAAUUUGAAAGCUGUUGAAAACAAAUGACAUUAUGCUAAAAAAUUCAAAAACAAGGAAAGCAUCAAUACCAACAAGCCGCCUUCUUAUAUGUCAGCUGUCCUAAUAUGAGCAUGGAGAAACAGCCUGAUAAAAAUAAAAACUAGCUCAAAAGCAGAAGGACAAUGGACAAUGAGGGACUAAAAAGUAGAAUGUCAGUCAUACCAUUUACAUGAACCCUACCAAAAUCAAAGUUUUGAAAGAAUAUGUGAGAGAAGUAUAUUGAGUGAUGCAAAUACCGAGAAGAUUCGAGGAAGAUCUAAGCUACUCUAGAAACUUUUCAAGGAACUACCUGUACAAAAGAGUGAAAACGUGGACUGUAAAUUAAAAAGUUCAACUUAUUAUAUUAAGUGGAAGACAAACAUUAGGAAAAUAUAAAGAUAUUCGGGAUGUGAUAUCUGUAUUAUGAUGUGUUUUAAAAAGGAAAUACACAGGAAUUAU
rnacentral:sRNA from 1 species